CCGUGGGCGCUGGAGAACUGAGGGGGGCUGCUCCUAGUACGAGAGGACCGGAGUGGACGCAUCACUGGUGUUCGGGUUGUCAUGCCAAUGGCACUGCCCGGUAGCUAAAUGCGGAAGAGAUAAGUGCUGAAAGCAUCUAAGCACGAAACUUGCCCCGAGAUGAGUUCUCCCUGAGACUUAAAGUCUCCUGAAGGAACGUUGAAGACGACGACGUUGAUAGGCCGGGUGUGUAAGCGCAGCGAUGCGUUGAGCUAACCGGUACUAAUGAACCGUGAGGCUUAACCUUACAACGCCGAAG
rnacentral:rRNA from 2 species